GUGCAUUGGACAGGCCACGCUCGCCGUCGGUCGAGAGAAGGCCUCCCUGGCCCCCAAGUGCCUGUGAUUGGUGGGACCGCUGGAAAAGGUGUGCCCUGCUAUGGGAAUCUUACCGACAGGAGCACCCAGACGUGGACACACCAGGCUCGCCAUUGGCGGAGAGAAGAAGGCCUCCCUGGUCUCCGAGUACCUGUGGUUGGCGGGACUGCUGGAAGAGGUGUUGCCUGAGACGGGCACCUUGCUGACUGGAGCGUCCGGACGGUAAGCCUUCCCUGGGUGUCAGCUAGUGCCCCUGGCUUUAGGCUUUCGCAAGCCUGUCCAAAAGGCCACUAAGGAAGGUUGCUGGAAGGACAUGUGGGGUUUUGAACCCAGAGGGGCCUGUCCUUUAAUGGCUCUGCAUGUCCUGGGCCACAGGAAGACCCUGAGUCCUUCAGCUUGUCCCGCUGAGCCAUCUGGCCCACCAGGGUCGGCUGUGCAGGUGGCCCCGAAUGUGCUCGGAUCGAUGAUGACUCCCUCAACAGCAUUCCUUGGAAAGCUGAACAAAAUGAGUGAGAACUCCCUACCGUCUUUCUCGUCGAAACUGAGGUCCAGCACAUUGUCUACCCCAGGGAAGGUAAGGGUCAGGGACAGCAGGCUUCCCCUUGGUCACACUCCUUCAAGCACCAGCACCCACAGCCUCUGCCUAGGAGAGCCUCACGGGGGACUCAUGGUCAGGGAAGCAUUUACCACCUGAGCAGGGUUUCCAAGGCAUGCAGGUCCUGAGGGGAAUGGUCGGCGACUGGGGUCGAGGGGGGCAGCCGGUCCCCCAAGGCCUAGGGCUUCAACGGCGUGUCUUGUGGCACCGGCCCUUGGGAGUCGAGGGCUGGGACCUGUGUAGGCCAGGAUGGCCCCACAGGCAUAAGCUCGUGGCAGUGUGUGUUGAGAGGCCAAGCAUGGCAAGCUUGCCUGGCCUGUGGGUGGGGGUGCAGAGGCCCAGCCCGAGGCAGCAGCGAUCCCUGGACGAGCCCUUUCUCUCACUGACGUACGUGGAGCGGCCCCUGGCUCGGGCUUCUGGGCCAAGGCAAGAGGCCGGGCUGCGGCACCGGCCAGGUUGGAAACAUCGGCCCUGCCCGGCGUGGCGAGCGGAGCCCCUGGGUAGCUUGGUCACGCCCGCGGGCGAUUGCUCCCCCUUUCUCAGGUGCAGUGGCCACGCCAGGCUCGCGGUCGGCCGAGAGAAGAAGGCCUCCCUGGCCCCCGAGUGCCUGUGGUUUGCGGUACGGCCGGAAGAAGUGUGGCCCGGAACGGGCACCUUGCUGACGGGAGCGUCCGGACGGUGCAGUGGCCACGCCAGGCUCGCGGUCGGCCGAGAGAAGAAGGCCUCCCCGGCCCCCGAGUGCCUGUGGUUUGCGGUACGGCCGGAAGAAGCGUGGCCCGGAACGGGCACCUUGCUGACGGGAGCGUCCGGACGGUGCAGUGGCCACGCCAGGCUCGCGGUCGGCCGAGAGAAGAAGGCCUCCCCGGCCCCCGAGUGCCUGUGGUUUGCGGUACGGCCGGAAGAAGCGUGGCCCGGAACGGGCACCUUGCUGACGGGAGCGUCCGGACGGUUAAUGUGAACCAAAACCUUGGUUUCAUAUGAAUAAAAAGUAUCUCCUUCCUCUUGAGAUGUGACA
rnacentral:lncRNA from 1 species